rnacentral:rRNA from 1 species
UUAUACGGCGAAACUGCGAAUGGCUCAUUAAAUCAGUUAUCGUUCAUUUGAUAGUACCUUACUACUUGGAUAACCGUGGUAAUUCUAGAGCUAAUACAUGCUAAAAGUCCCGACUUCGGAAGGGACGUAUUUAUUAGAUUAAAAACCAAUGCCCUUCGGGGCUCACUGGUGAUUCAUGAUAACUUCUCGAAUCGCAUGGCCUUGCGCCGGCGAUGGUUCAUUCAAAUUUCUGCCCUAUCAACUUUCGAUGGCUGGGUCUUGGCCAGCCAUGGUGACAACGGGUAACGGAGGGUUAGGGCUCGACCCCGGAGAGGACGCCUGAGAAACGGCGUCCACAUCCAAGGAAGGCAGCAGGCGCGCAAAUUACCCAAUCCCGACACGGGGAGGUAGUGACAAUAAAUACUGAUACAGGGCUCUUUUGGGUCUUGUAAUUGGAAUGAGUACAAUUUAAAUCCCUUAACGAGGAACAAUUGGAGGGCAAGUCUGGUGCCAGCAGCCGCGGUAAUUCCAGCUCCAAUAGCGUAUAUUAAAGUUGUUGCAGUUAAAAAGCUCGUAGUUGAACCUUGGGCCUGGCUGGCCGGUCCGCCUCACCGCGUGCACUGGUCCGGCCGGGCCUUUCCCUCUGGGGAGCCUCAUGCCCUUCACUGGGUGUGACGGGGAACCAGGACUUUUACUGUGAAAAAAUUAGAGUGUUCAAAGCAGGCCUAUGCUCGAAUACAUUAGCAUGGAAUAAUAGAAUAGGACGUGCGGUUCUAUUUUGUUGGUUUCUAGGACCGCCGUAAUGAUUAAUAGGGACAGUCGGGGGCAUCAGUAUUCAAUUGUCAGAGGUGAAAUUCUUGGAUUUAUUGAAGACUAACUACUG